GCGGAGGCCGGGCAGGGGGACGGGGCGUUUCUCCGGACCCCGUGGAGAGCGCGCUCGUGUCCGGCCUCCGAGGGGCGGGGGGGACGCGCGUCCGCCCGGCUCCCCCCUCCCCGGACGCGGCCGAACCGACGUGGGCCCCGGCCUCGCCCCGCGCGCGGCCCCGAUGGAAGUGGCGGAGCCGCACCUGCGCGGCCGCCCCGGUCCCCCCGGGCGCAGCCGCCGCGCUCGCCUGCCCCAGGACGAACACACGUGCGAGUCCGUCUUUCCCGAGAAACGCAAACGCGCGACACCGCAGCCCCCCGGCCGCUGACCUCCCGCAGCGGCUUCUCCGCGGGCUGGGGGUGACCCCGCGACAGCCGGGGGUCCCGGGCAAGCUCUCGGGUCGCGGAUUCUGAGACCGUCACUCAUUCUCCUACGUUUGGCUGCAAAAUGGAGGUUUAACGACCCGCGAGCGGAGCGCUCUGCCCCGCGCUUCUCGCGCGCGAAGCACCCGUUGCGCACCGCACGCCGCGCGCGUUUUUUAAGCAACGUCCACCCCCAAGGCGGGGCUCGAACCCGCAGCUCCGAGGGCAGGCGCGGCCGUACCAACCCAGCCAGCCUCGUGCCCUUCACUCUCUUUAGAGUUUUCCCAGGGAAGCCCAUUCUGCAGACGUGGAAACUGAGGAAAAACACACUCCCAGCUCAGGGAGUGCGGCUCCUGGCCCUCCCCACAGACUUAAUAAUGCGACUAGCAUUUGAACUGACUUCCAGUGUGACGAUUGUGUGAAUGUUCUUCGCGGGAGCCUAGCCCGGCGCAGUAAAGCCCUCGGGUCACCAGAUGCCUCUUGCAACUUCAGCCAUCAAGUGCUUUCUCAAGGGAGAAAGGAGAGAGAAGGGAAGCCCUGGCUCCAUCUCUUCCUUUUCAUCGGGAAAAGCAAAAGCUCUCUAAGCCCUGGCAGGUAUCUCUUCUAUCUCACUGGUCAAAAUUUUGUCACACUGGUCACCUCUAGCUGCAAGGAUGUCUGGGAAAUCUCGCAUCUUGUCUGGGCCCUGGCGCACCGCCGUUGCAAGAGGACUCUGAAUUCAAUUGUCAAGGAAGAAGGAACAGUGAAAAUAGAAAGUAACUAACAGGGUCUUGUAUAAGGACCCAUCCAACAUGAACGGUCUAUGAGUCUUCAACCCAUUUAUGGGUUAUUUUCUAUUCUGCUUGUGAACUUGUUUAGCUUUUCUCCAGUCCCAAGCCAAGAGCAUACAUCUGUCAAGAGAAUAAAAAGGAUAUUUACAGAAAUCUUAAGAAAACAAAA